rnacentral:rRNA from 1 species
UGGCCUACGGGGGGCAGCAGUAGGGAAUUUUCGUCAAUGGGCGCAAGCCUGAACGAGCGAUGCCGCGUGAGUGAAGAAGGCCUUCGGGUCGUAAAGCUCUGUUGCGGGGGAAAAAAGGCAGCAUCAGGAAAUGGGUGCUGACUGAUGGUGCCCCGCCAGAAAGUCACGGCUAACUACGUGCCAGCAGCCGCGGUAAUACGGAGGAUUCGAGCGUUAUCCGGAUUUAUUGGGUUUAAAGGGUGCGUAGGCUGUCGGAUAAGUUAGAGGUCAAAUGUCGGGGCUUAACCCCGUGCCUGCCUCUGAUA